UUUGCAUAUUCAAAAAGCGGAGGAAAAGAAACCAACAGGGAUUGCCUCAGUAACGGCGAGUGAAGCGGCAACAGCUCAAAUUUGAAAUCUGGCCUCUCGGGGUCCGAGUUGUAAUUUGUAGAGGAUGUUUUGGGUACCGCCCCGGUUUAAAUUUCUUGGAACAGAAUGUCAAAGAGGGUGAGAAUCCCGUCUUGGACCGGCGGUAGGGCCUGUGUAAAACUCCUUCGACGAGUCGAGUUGUUUGGGAAUGCAGCUCAAAAUGGGUGGUAAAUUUCAUCUAAAGCUAAAUAUUGGCCAGAGACCGAUAGCGCACAAGUAGAGUGAUCGAAAGAUGAAAAGAACUUUGAAAAGAGAGUUAAACAGUAUGUGAAAUUGUUGAAAGGGAAGCGCUUGCAACCAGACUUGAGCGCGACGGUUCCCCUAGCCUUUUGGCUAGGUUACUCUGUCGUGUCCAGGCCAACAUCGGUUCUGAGGGUCGGUCAAAGGCCCCGGGAAUGUACCUACCCACGGGUAGACUUAUAGACCGGGGUGUCAUGCGGCCUCUCGGGACCGAGGAACGCGCUUCGGCUCGGAUGUUGGCGUAAUGGUUGUCAGCGACCCGUCUUGAACACAGGGACCAAAA
rnacentral:rRNA from 1 species